GGGGCGGUGGCGCAGUUGGUUAGCGCGUAGGUCUCAUAAUCCUGAGGUCGAGAGUUCGAGCCUCUCUCGCCCCA